rnacentral:rRNA from 1 species
UACGGAGGGUGCGAGCGUUGUCCGGAAUCACUGGGCGUAAAGGGCGCGUAGGCGGCGCGAGCAGUCGGCGGUGAAAGCCCGGGGCUCAACUCCGGGUCGGCCGUCGAUACUCUCGUGCUUGAGCACUGUAGAGGCAGAUGGAAUUCCGGGUGUAGCGGUGGAAUGCGUAGGAGAUCCGGAAGAACACCGGUGGCGAAGGCGGUU